AGUGAACGCUGGCGGUAGGCCUAACACAUGCAAGUCGAACGGCAGCACAGUAAGAGCUUGCUCUUACGGGUGGCGAGUGGCGGACGGGUGAGGAAUACAUCGGAAUCUACUUUUUCGUGGGGGAUAACGUAGGGAAACUUACGCUAAUACCGCAUACUACCUACGGGUGAAAGCAGGGGAUCUUCGGACCUCGCGCGAUUGAAUGAGCCGAUGUCGGAUUAGCUAGUUGGCGGGGUAAAGGCCCACCAAGGCGACGAUCCGUAGCUGGUCUGAGAGGAUGAUAAGCCACACUGGAACUGAGACACGGUCCAGACUCCUACGGGAGGCAGCAGUGGGGAAUAUUGGACAAUGGGCGCAAGCCUGAUCCAGCCAUACCGCGUGGGUGAAGAAGGCCUUCGGGUUGUAAAGCCCUUUUGUUGGGAAAGAAAAGCAGCAGGUUAAUACCCCGCUGUUCUGACGGUACCCAAAGAAUAAGCACCGGCUAACUUCGUG
rnacentral:rRNA from 1 species